AUAGAACAAACCAGGUGUGAGCACUGUCUUUCCAAAGUUACACUGAAGCCGUUGGAGGAAAGGUCGGACCUCAGGCCUUCCCGCGGCACCAACUACUGACGGCGGAUUUGCUCACAGAUCCUUCACAGCUGUUUCAAAGAACCAUUCUGUGAUUCUAUGAUCUUCCAGGACCCUUCCAACCCACACCAUCCUGUGGUUCUAUCAUCUUCCAGGACUCUUGCAACACAAACCAUUCUAUGGUUCUGUGAUCACUAAGGAACCUCCCAAGCCACGCCGUCCUGCAGUUCUGUGAUCUUCCAGGACCCUUCCAACACGGACCGUCCUAUGGUUCUAUGAUCUUCCAGGACCCUCCUGUGCGGGUGAUAUCACCAUGACGUGAUGACCUCACAGAUGCCCUGGGGUGGGGCAGGGGCAGUGGGUCAGCGCGGAACCUGCUGGCCCCAUUCUGCGGGUGGUGCUGGUCCAGCGAGGAGCUGUGCGAGUGGUGCAGUAAUGCGGGCCCAGUGUGUCAGCAGAAGAUUAAGGGCGGUGUGGCGUGCGAAGCUGGUGGAGGAGGAGCUGCUGGUGAGCUCUGGGUGCACAGACACAGAAGGGCCGGCGGGGGGAGCUGCCGGCUGGAGGCACCUGCCAGGCAUGGCAGCAGGGCCGGGCACCUCCGGUGGGAUGCAGAGCUGCCGGCAGCACCUCGGUGCCAACGCUGCUCCUCUCCCUUCACACAGGCUCAUGCGGCCGUGGAGAAGUGCAAGGCCGUGGCCAGGGAAUCCUUGAUGAAGGUGAGCAGAUGUCCCCUCGUGUAGGUCUGCAUCUCCAGCCCUGUGGGCACUGGUUACCCCGACGGAGGGGGCAGGAGGGGAUGGCGGCAUGGAGCUGCCGUCAGACGGAGCUCCGUGGGAGUGCUGCUGCCCUGAUGGCUGCUCCUCUUCUUCUUUCCCACAGGAUGCCCAGAAAUUACGGGCAGAAAGAACAGCUGCCAGGAAAGAGAAGCUGAAGCAGGUAGGGGGGAGCGGGGGCUCGUCCUCAGAGCUCAGCGUCCUCACAGCUUUGGCUCUGUGGGAGGACCUCGGUCCCCGUCCCUCGGGUCCAUGGGGCCCGGCGCAGCCGCCCCACAUGGCACACCCUUUGUCUUUGCAGGAGAAGCAGCUCGUUGCCCAGCUGGAACAGCAGCUGCAGGCUGAGACAGAGGAGAUGGAGGUGCUGCGCCAGGAAAAACAGCGCCUGCAAGAGGAGCGGGAGGAGCUGGAGCUGGAGGGUGCCUGGUGA
rnacentral:lncRNA from 7 species